UGGAACGCUUUACGGUUUCCAGAACUGCGC
rnacentral:piRNA from 1 species